UAUAAUUAAAUACUACCACGGGUAAAAUCGUAGAAUUGACGGGCUUGAUUCGAUAUUAAUAUGGGAUGGUGUACUACGGGUGAUAUUUUAGAAUUGACUGGUUUGGGUUGAUAAUAAUUUGCGAUAGAAUUAGGAGUGAAAUCCUAGAAUGACAAUUAAAAUAUAAUUAUACAAUUAAAUACUACCACGGGUGAAAUCCUAGAAUUGACGGGUUUGAUUCGAUAUUAAUAUGGGAUGGUGUACUACGGGUGAAAUCCGAGAAACAACAAUCAAAAUACAAUUAUACAAUAUUAAACAUUUAACAAAAUAAACAAAUACAACUUAAAACUUUAAAAUUUGAGUUAUAAAAUUUCGUCUCGCGGUGAAUUAUACAUUUAAAUCAAACAAUAGCAUAAAUUUAUUAAAUCAUCCUAAAAAAUAUUCAAUUAUUUUUUAUUUAAUAAAAAUAUAGGCCCGCGGUAUACCGCGGGUUAAUAUCUAGUAUUUUACAUUCUUUU
rnacentral:sRNA from 1 species